AUGCCUGGGGAAGCUGGGGUCAUUACUUCUGUCUCUUCCAAGCCUCUGCAGACUCCCACCUCCCUAGGACCAUCACAGAGGACACGGAGGACGGCACUUCUGGCUACCACCCAAUUUCAAUUCCAGCAGGCACCAUGUGACAAUGAAAAUGUGCAGGUCGUGCUGAGGAACGGGCCUCCAAGCUGAAGGAGCUAAUUGCCUGGACAGCAGAGGAUGAAGCAGACCUACCAUUCAGUCAGCCCUGGCUUAUCUCCUUUCAUAGAAAAGCACCAGAGGCAGACUAACCAGCUCCCCUGAAGGUGGGAUUCACUCCAUCACAGAGGUAAUAUUACACGCUUUAAUGCUAACCCAAGGCAGACAGCACUUAAAGCCCAAGGAGCUGUAAGGUCAUAUUAGAUUUAAAAAUAAAAGUUGACUUUUUUUUUUUUUAAGGCCUGCC
rnacentral:lncRNA from 1 species